UGGAAUGAUGAGUGCACUGACU
rnacentral:miRNA from 1 species